CGGGAUGUAGGGUAACGGUCACCCGCCAGUUUUGGGAACUGGUUCAAGCAGGUUCGACUCCUGUCAUCCCGACCA
rnacentral:tRNA from 1 species